CGGGUGAGUAACGCGUAGGUAACCUACCUAUAAGACUGGGAUAACUUCUGGAAACCGGAGCUAAUACCGGAUAAUAUAUUGAACCGCAUGGUUCAAUAGUGAAAGACGGUUUUGCUGUCACUUAUAGAUGGAUCCGCGCCGCAUUAGCUAGUUGGUAAGGUAACGGCUUACCAAGGCAACGAUGCGUAGCCGACCUGAGAGGGUGAUCGGCCACACUGGAACUGAGACACGGUCCAG
rnacentral:rRNA from 1 species